AGUCAACGCCGUGUGAGUGAAGAAGGUUUUCGGAUCGUAAAACUCUGUCCUAAGGGAAGAAACAAAUGACGGUACCUUAGGAGGAAGCCCCCGGCUAACUACGUGCCAGCAGCCGCGGUAAUACGUAGGGGGCAAGCGUUAUCCGGAAUCACUGGGCGUAAAGGGUGCGUAGGCGGCUUAGCAAGCCAGGGGUGAAAGGCAUUGGCUCAACCAAUGUAAGCCUUUUGGAACUGUUAAGCUUGAGUGCAGGAGAGGUAAGUGGAAUUCCUAGUGUAGAGGUGAAAAUUCGUAGAUAUUAGGAGGAACACCAGUGGCGAAGGCGACUUACUGGACUGUAAACUGACGCUGAUGCACGAAAGCGUGGGUAGCGAACAGGAUUAGAUACCCUGGUAG
rnacentral:rRNA from 1 species